rnacentral:lncRNA from 1 species
AAAUGACAUUUCACUUUGUUUUGGUCCAUUUUGUUUGUUAGAGACAAGAGUGCAGCGGGGCCAUCUCAGCUCACUGCAACGUCCAGCUCCUGGGCCCAAGCGAUCCUCCCACCUCAGCCUCUCCAGUAACUGGGAUAACAGGUACGCACCACCAGGCCCGACUAAUCUUUUUUGGAAUUUUUUGUAGAGAUGGGGUUUCGCCAUGAUGCCCUGGCUAGUCUUCAACUCCUGGACUCAAGUGAUCCGCCCACCUCAGCCUCCCAAAGUGCUGGGAUUAUAGGCGUG